GCUGACACUUGAGUACCAUCCCAACAUGUCUUGUCCUGGUGUGCCAGAGUUCUGGGAGAGGAUCUGCUGGUCUUGAUUCACUGGGGGGACCUGCAGUGCACCCAUUAGUGCCCAGAUCAGAGACAUGC
ensembl:snoRNA